rnacentral:misc_RNA from 1 species
GAUGAAGAACGUAGCGAAAUGCGAUAAGUAGUGUGAAUUGCAGAAUUCAGUGAAUCAUCGAAUCUUUGAACGCACAUUGCGCCCUUUGGUAUUCCUUAGGGCAUGCCUGUUCGAGCGUCAUUUCAACCCUCAAGCCCUGCUUGGUGUUGGGCGUUUGUCCUGCCUCCGCGCGGGACUCGCCUCAAAGACAUUGGCGGCCGGUUUCCCUUUGCAGGCCACGAGCGCAGCACAGCGAGCGCUCUACGUGGACGCGGGGUCGGCGCACCAGAAGCCCUCUUUCUCGAAUUUUGACCUCGGAUCAGGUAGGGAUACCCGCUGAACUUAAGCAUAUCAUAAGCGGAGGA